rnacentral:lncRNA from 1 species
AACGCUGCUGAGCCCCGCCUCAGGCGGUGGUACUGGCCGCCCCGAGUCCCCGAAACAGCGACCAGCAGGGGGCCAAGGCCGACAGCCCUGACCCCCGCCUCCUCCGGGGUGUGCCCCACUGCUCCAGACAAGACAGACCCCAGCGUGCGGGCAUGGGAGGCGGAGCUGCCAGGCCACGGCCGGGUUUCCUGCUCUCGGAGUCGAGCAGAGGCAAGUGAAACAAAGGUCAGUGAACACCGAGGUCCAGAGCAGCCGCCGCCUCUGGCACCUCCCGAGUCCCAAGGGCCCGAUACGAGAGUCCUUGCGGCUUCGUCCCGCACAGCGCCCUGCAUCUGAGACAAUCGUGUUCCGAUCUCCUCUCCGGUGGCUGUCGUCGGCUGGGGAGGGCCUGGGGGAAGAGGGUCACAGCCCCUCAAAGCAAGGCCUCCAGCCAGGGCCAGAUGCAGCCCAGCCAGUGGGGAGAAAGCAGCUCCCAGGCCACCGGGCCCUGGAACCCUGGACAUGUCACCAGCACUGCUGUGUAGGCACAGCCUGGAGCAUCCACUGAGAAUGGACAAGUCAUCGUCUGUGGCUUUGCUCUUAACAGCACGUCUGACCCUGCUGGAGCCUGGCUGAGCCCCACGGAGUCACAGCCCUCAACAACCUGCAGCCCCGGCACCGUGCUGUGGACCAGAGCCGACCCGGCAGCCACACCCCGGAAGCCGCUUCUCCAGACGGGAGCGCGGUUGGGCCUCCAUACAAAGGCUGCGCUUCUGCCAUGGCGGGCACAGGACAAUGCGCUGCAGAGCACACUGAGUGGGAGAGCAAAUUCUGGAACUGUCGCAGGCGGAAACCACACAAGGGGGAAACAGACAAAACAGCAAACCCGGAAGAACCAUUCCCGCUUCCGAAGCUCCAUGAUCACGGCAGACGCUUCUUAAAACCUCCCGUUUAAUAUCAGAUGCCACACAUACGAGAUCGAUGUGCACGUCGGGAGAAACCACAGCACAGCCAGGAGUACUGGCGCACAGUGAAUACGCUUCCGUCCUUUCAAAAGCCUUUCCCGAACGGUAUCUUGUAAAAAAUGCCAAAAAUAAAAUGAAAAAAACUGCCA